UAGUGAUAAAAAGUAAUCUUUAAUUGGCGAUAAGAUUCGAAUUAGAAUCAAUUAUAAUCAGUGUUUACAUUGCUUACCGGUGCUGUGUGGCGUGAUGCGUCGAUGUAGGGUCGGCCCACUCACGACCCAAGUCCAAAAUAUUUCCCCUUAAAGUCGGACGAUUGAAAGAACAGGUGCUUGCUCACGAUUCAUUGAAGAGUAUAAAAGGAUUAUUCGCCUCCAUUUUAUUCAUAGUUCUCUGUUAACAGUCGACUUCGCAUUUUGCAUCGCUUUAUUCUUUCACCACUCCAAACCCCAACCAAACUCCACCAUGUACGGACAAGAGAAGAACGUCAUUGACAUCGUCGCCCUCAACGGCAAAGAGCGCAACGCCAUGGACAUCGUCGCCUUAAACGGCAAAGAACGCAACACCGUUGACAUCGUUGCCCUCAACGGAAAGGAACGUAACGUUGUCGACAUCGUCGCCCUCAACGGAAAGGAACGCGUUGUCUUUGACGUCAUCGCCCUCAACGGAAAGGAAAGGACUUCCUUCGACAUCAUCUCCCUAUAAGAUCCCUGCUCCUUCACAUCGAACUGUCACUCCCCGAAUUGAAAGCGCAGAAUGUUCUCGAUUCACCAUCGCCUCACGGUUUCACGCCUUGGAGGAUCACAGUAUUGUUCCACUUGUUCCUCUCACUACCUACUGAAACACUAGAAGAAUCUCCCUGCGGCCCUCGCCCAAUGCACAUUGGUCGAUUUCCUCUCGCCCAGCUUCGAUCAUCUGUAAGCUGAUACCUCACGAGUCUUUCAUGAAUUUCAAACGUAUCAUGGGUACUCUUUUAUAAUUGUAUAAAAUGUAAAAAAAAAAAUUGAAAAUUCUGAAUAAAAACCUAAACUUUCAAAAUCCUA